AGAUUAAAGGAUUUCAACAUAAAAGAUAGGACAAAGGGUCCAAACAAAAAUUAUACCGAGGAGUUACCUGUUCUUGUACAUGAUAAUCUAUUGGAGAUUCAUUUCCUUUGGGCCGGCAAAGGAACAUCUCCAUUAUAUCCUCCAUUUCUCAAUGGACCUCUUAUAUCAGCUAUUGCUGUAACCCCAGACUUCAAAGUUGACGGAGAGAAGCUCUCUCCUAGACAAAUAGCAGGGAUUGUUGCAGGUGCUGUAUUGACUCCAUUGCUUGUAUUGGCAU
rnacentral:misc_RNA from 1 species